GUAAUAAAGUAUCUUAUCAGUGUUUUCCAUCCAAACUCUCUCCAUCUCUGUGAAGACGUACAUUUCCACUGAUGCUUCCAGAUCAGAGUCCAUUCUUCUUCUGUUAUGUUUAUUCCUGCUUCUUUCUCCCAUAGUGCCUUAACA